CCGUGGUCGUGUUCAACUUCACACUUGUGAUUCAAACUACAUUCAUCGAUUCAAUCGGUCAAGAUGCAGACUUUAACAGACACUUUAGGAAUCUGCUCAUGCAGACGAUGUUUAACAACAUUCCACAUGUAAACUUCACAGUCACUUACAGUGCAGGAAGUAUACGGUGUCACAUAGCGACGACAGUGCCACAAGAGAAACCAGGGAUCGCACAUGAAACCGUGAAGGCACUAGAAGAUAUCCG